AGUGAACGCUGGCGGUAGGCCUAACACAUGCAAGUCGAACGGCAGCACAGUAAGAGCUUGCUCUUACGGGUGGCGAGUGGCGGACGGGUGAGGAAUACAUCGGAAUCUACUUUUUCGUGGGGGAUAACGUAGGGAAACUUACGCUAAUACCGCAUACGACCUACGGGUUAAAGCAGGGGAUCUUCGGACCUUGCGCGAUUGAAUGAGCCGAUGUCGGAUUAGCUAGUUGGCGGGGUAAAGGCCCACCAAGGCGACGAUCCGUAGCUGGUCUGAGAGGAUGAUCAGCCACACUGGAACUGAGACACGGUCCAGACUCCUACGGGAGGCAGCAGUGGGGAAUAUUGGACAAUGGGCGAAAGCCUGAUCCAGCCAUACCGCGUGGGUGAAGAAGGCCUUCGGGUUGUAAAGCCCUUUUGUUGGGAAAGAAAAGCAGCAGGUUAAGACCCCGCUGUUCUGACGGUACCCAAAGAAUAAGCACCGGCUAACUUCGUG
rnacentral:rRNA from 1 species